rnacentral:rRNA from 1 species
GACGAACGCUGGCGGCGUGCUUAACACAUGCAAGUCGAGCGGUAAGGCCCUUUCGGGGGUACACGAGCGGCGAACGGGUGAGUAACACGUGGGUGACCUGCCCUCAGCUCUGGGAUAAGCCUGGGAAACCGGGUCUAAUACCGGAUAUGACUCCAUGACGCAUGUUGUGGGGUGGAAAGCCUUGUGCGGCUGAGGAUGGGCCCGCGGCCUAUCAGCUUGUUGGUGGGGGAUGGCCUACCAAGGCGACGACGGGUAGCCGGCCUGAGAGGGCGACCGGCCACACUGGGACUGAGACACGGCCCAGACUCCUACGGGAGGCAGCAGUGGGGAAUCUUGCGCAAUGGGCGAAAGCCUGACGCAGCGACGCCGCGUGAGGGAUGACGGCCUCGGUUGUAA